rnacentral:rRNA from 1 species
UACGUAGGUGGCGAGCGUUGUCCGGAUUUACUGGGCGUAAAGGGAGCGUAGGCGGACUUUUAAGUGAGAUGUGAAAUACUCGGGCUCAACUUGAGCGCUGCAUUUCAAACUGGAAGUCUAGAGUGCAGGAGAGGAGAAUGGAAUUCCUAGUGUAGCGGUGAAAUGCGUAGAGAUUAGGAAGAACACCAGUGGCGAAGGCGAUUCUCUGGACUGUGACUGACGCUGAGGCUCGAAAGCGUGGGGAGCAAACAGG